rnacentral:rRNA from 1 species
ACUGCUCAGUAACACGUGGACAACCUGCCCUUAGGUUGGGUAUAAACCCGGGAAACUGGGUAUAAUACCCGAUAGGUCUCGAUUGCUGGAAUGCAUCGAGAUUUAAAGCUCCGGCGCCUAAGGAUGGGUCUGCGGCCUAUCAGGUAGUAGUGGGUGUAGCGUACCUACUAGCCUACGACGGGUACGGGUUGUGAGAGCAAGAGCCCGGAGAUGGAUUCUGAGACACGAAUCCAGGCCCUACGGGGUGCAGCAGGCGCGAAAACUUUACAAUGCUGGCAGCAGCGAUAAGGGAACCUCGAGUGCCAGGUUACAAAUCUGGCUGUCGAGAUGCCUAAAAAGCAUUUCAUAGCAAGGGCCGGGCAAGACCGGUGCCAGCCGCCGCGGUAACACCGGCGGCUCGAGUGGUAACCGUUAUUAUUGGGUCUAAAGGGUCUGUAGCCGGCCGGAUAAGUCUCUUGAGAAAUCUGGCAGCUUAACUGUCAGGCUUUCAGGAGAUACUGUCUGGCUCGAGGCCGGGAGAGGUGAGAGGUACUUCAGGGGUAGGGGUGAAAUCUUGUAAUCCUUGAAGGACCACCAGUGGCGAAGGCGUCUCACCAGAACGGACCUGACGGCAAGGGACGAAAGCUAGGGGCACGAACCGGAUUAGAUACCCGGGUAGUCCUAGCCGUAAACGAUACUCGCUAGGUGUCGGCCACGGUGCGACCGUUGUCGGUGCCGUAGGGAAGCCGUGAAGCGAGCCACCUGGGAAGUACGGCCGCAAGGCUGAAACUUAAAGGAAUUGGCGGGGGAGCAC